rnacentral:rRNA from 1 species
UAAGCAACAACUGACGNUGAUGGACGAAAGCGUGGGGAGCGAACAGGAUUAGAUACCCUGGUAGNCCACGCCGUAAACGAUGCUAACUCGUUUUUGGAAUGUAAGUUUCAGAGANUAAGCGAAAGUGAUAAGUUAGCCACCUGGGGAGUACGAACGCAAGUUUGAAACUCAAAGGAAUUGACGGGGGCCCGCACAAGCGGUGGAUUAUGUGGUUUAAUUCGAUGAUACGCGAGGAACCUUACCAAGGCUUAAAUGGGAAAUGACAGGUUUAGAAAUAGACUUUUCUUCGGACAUUUUUCAAGGUGCUGCAUGGUUGUCGUCAGCUCGUGCCGUGAGGUGUUAGGUUAAGUCCUGCAACGAGCGCAACCCCUGUCACUAGUUGCCAUCAUUAAGUUGGGGACUCUAGUGAGACUGCCUACGCAAGUAGAGAGGAAGGUGGGGAUGACGUCAAAUCAUCACGGCCCUUACGCCUUGGGCCACACACGUAAUACAAUGGCCGGUACAGAGGGCAGCUACACUGCGAAGUGAUGCAAAUCUCGAGAGCCGGUCUCAGUUCGGAUUGGAGUCUGCAACUCGACUCUAUGAAGCUGGAAUCGCUAGUAAUCGCGCAUCAGCCAUGGCGCGGUGAAUACGUUCCCGGGCCUUGUACACACCGCCCGUCAAGCCAUGGAAGUCUGGGGUACCUGAAGUCGGUGACCGUAACAGGAGCUGCCUAGGGUAAAACAGGUAACUAGGGCU